rnacentral:rRNA from 1 species
UGGGGAAUUUUGCGCAAUGGGGGAAACCCUGACGCAGCAACGCCGCGUGAGUGAUGAAGGCCUUCGGGUCGUAAAGCUCUGUCAGAGGGGAAGAAAUGCAGGGGUGCUAAUAUCAUCUUUGCUUGACGGUACCCUCAAAGGAAGCACCGGCUAACUCCGUGCCAGCAGCCGCGGUAAUACGGAGGGUGCGAGCGUUGUUCGGAAUUAUUGGGCGUAAAGGGCGUGUAGGCGGUUUGGUAAGUCUGAGGUGAAGGCCCCGGGCUCAACCUGGGAAGUGCAUUGGAAACUGUCAGACUUGAAUACGGGAGAGUGUAGUGGAAUUCCUAGUGUAGGAGUGAAAUCCGUAGAUAUUAGGAGGAACACCGGUGGCGAAGGCGGCUACCUGGACCGAUAUUGACGCUGAGACACGAAAGCGUGGGGAGCAAACA